UACGUAGGUGACAAGCGUUGUCCGGAUUUACUGGGCGUAAAGAGCGCGCAGGCGGUCGUUCAAGUCGAGUGUGAAAGCCCCCGGCUCAACUGGGGAGGGUCACUCGAUACUGAUCGACUCGAAGGCAGGAGAGGGAAGUGGAAUUCCCGGUGUAGUGGUGAAAUGCGUAGAUAUUGGGAGGAACACCAGUGGCGAAGGCGGCUCACUGGACCGGAACUGACGCUGAGGCGCGAAAGCGUGGGGAGCAAACAGG
rnacentral:rRNA from 1 species